rnacentral:lncRNA from 1 species
AUCAUCCUUGAAUUGAAAUAUUUUUUUAUAUCUUAUUGUUAUGUCCUUUGAAGUAGUUAAUGACUUAUAUUGGGAUAUGAAUCGCAGGUAAAUGAAGGAGAAGAAAACGUACAGGUUAUGACAUUUGGGCAACCUCGUGUUGGGAAUGCCGCUUUUGCUUCUUAUUACAGUUUGCUUGUGCCUAAUACCUUCAGAAUCACGCAUGACCGUGAUAUGGUUCCCCAUCUGCCUCCUUACUAUUACCAUUUCCCUCAAAAAACAUACCACCACUUCCCAACAGAGGUAGCAUCGCUUUCUCAGUGCACUGGAUGUUUAUCAGAAUAACAGUUUUAAUUUAACUUAUUUUAUGCAAAAAUCUGGAAUACUCAAUGAUUUUUCCAAUGUCGGACAUAAUUUCUCCGCUCUGUUUAUUAACUUUAUGGAAAAGAAAUAAAGAAAGCUGUAAUGGUGUGUUUUGGGUUGCAGGUGUGGGUUAAAGAAUUCAGUUUUUCGAACUUUGUUCUUUUUGGUUUGGAGAAAGUUUGUGACAACACCGGUGAAGAUCCUACUUGCAGCAGGUAACUAUCAAUCCCUCUGAAACAACUUACUGAUAUAAUUCCUCUCCGCUAUACACCUACAGUAGCAAGAACAGACCUGCAAAUCAAAAAUUUAGGUUCAUUAUUAACUACCAGAUUUCAACAGAGAAAUGACGUGAUAAAUCAUUAGAAUACACCUUUUGUUUCUUGUUUUAGAUUAAGGUAGCAGACAUUUUUUACAUGAAUCCAGUAUAAUUCUCUUGGCUAUUGUUGUCUCAGAUCGGUGAGGGGAACUAGCAUUUCAGACCAUUUAAGGUACUUUGGGGUAGAGUUGAUGUGUGAGAGUUGGAGACAAUGCAGCAUAGUGAUGAACCAGGAGGUAGAGCGUUACAGCAGGAAAGAUUCAAAGGGUAACAUAUUCCUGUCGCGGACAGUUCCUUCCAAGGACGCAAUCGAAAACCGGAAUCUCUAGCCCAUAGGUGUUGGUUGAUUGGAGUCUUGAACAAGAGAAAGCUUGCUGGAAUGGGAUGUUUGAGAGGUUCAGUGUUGUGUUGGAAGAAGAAGAAGGGUUCUUUGAUUCUUUGUGUUCGUAAAAGAAGGUGAACAAAUGAUUUUGUAAAUAAAUCCUAUAGGUUGGUCGCAUGUAGCAUGUUAAAUCUUUAUUAAUUUAAAUCCAUGAUCAUAUAGAUAUUGGAUUCAACGAUAUACUGUAUGUAAGUAUGUGUAUGAAUAAUGACAUUGUACAGUAGCAGAAUAGUUUCGAAUCUUUAAAUUCGUAUCCAUCAAUUUCUUGUGUCAAUUUAUAGUAGUAUCAUUUUAGUUCAUAAUUCCCAAAUUAUUUUGCAAUAUAAUGGACAUGUCUUAUUGAAAAACUAAACACAUGUAAUCAAUUAAAAAUCAAAUAAAAUAAAAUACAGAUGUUUUUUCUCCACCAAACGUUGACACACACUUGAGAGUUUAGACAGAACAUGAAUUUUUGCAAUGAUUCAUGACAAGAACAAGAUUAUACUAAUUUUAUGGUGUUUUAUUCUUCUUAACUUGUCGAGUAUUAAUUUAUUUUUGUACAGGUGUUUUUAAUGUAACUAAGAUAAGAAAAAAUUGGAAACCUCUAGGCGGUAAAGAGUCUUUCGCAGAAUAUCGAAUCUCCGUUGUUGAUCGGGAACCGCAUCUUUCUGCGACUCGGUUGUCGUUCCUUUCCUUUCGUCUCGUAGUUACUAAAUCAGAUCUCAUCUCUCACUCUCAGUUCCAAUAAUACCCCUUCCUAAGAGCCAACACGUAUCCUUCCUUCAUCAGCCUUUGCGUAUAAAAAAAUGAAACUGGAAUAGAUUUAUUCGUAUUUCAUCGACGUUUCUUUUCGCAUUCCACAUAGUUUUUUUUCAACGGGUAAUUUUCUCCGAUCACUUUCCGAGAUUUCUAUUUGUGUGUUCUUCACGGAUUUGGUUCGAUUGCUUUGAUCCUCUGUUUUGUCAAAGGUCUGUCUUUUUUUUUCUGGACUUAAAUUGGUUGCUGAAAUCCCCUGUGGCUUUUGCUCUAAUCCUCGUUAGUUUGGGCUUGUGUGAGUCUCGUAUUAUAAGCUAAACUGUGAUUUUGGCCAAUUUGCUUCUGGAUUCUGCUUUGUCUUAGCUCAAUUUUGCAAUUUGGUUGAUGAUACAGAAGAUGAUGUGGUUGUGUGUAAUUGUCCUUUUGCAGAAUAUGGGACAAAAGAGAUGGUUCUUCUUGCUGGCAGUUUUUGCUUGUCUUUUUUCAUCUUCAUGUGGUAGAGGUGAUAAUGGAACUUCUCCCUCCCUCUGAGUCUCUUUGAGCCUAAUCAAAAAAAUUUGAAAUUUCUGUAGAAUGAUGAUAGUGAUUGGGAAAGAUGACAAAUUUACUCUUGCUACUGAACAAUGUGACCUGGAUUCUCAAUCUGGGAUAGUUUUGAUUUAUUUAUGUAGCCUCAGCUACAAUGAAUCAAGACAGAACUUAGUGAAUUUAUGGGGACUUUUUUUCUUUUUAUUGCAGUUCUCAAGUUGAAGAGUGAUGAUGAUCGACCUGUUUACAACCACACGCUUGCCAUAACACUUGUGGAGUAUACUUCUGCAGUAAGUUAAUGGCAGAUUUCUACAGUAUGCAUUUCAUUUUAUCUCUGCAAGAUAUGAAGGAAAUUGUAGCACUUGUCCUCUUAUUUUCAUUUAAUUACCAUUACUAGAGAAGAGAGCUUAUGCUGAUAUAGUGCACCAAAUGGAUUUAUAUAUGUAUGCAGGUUUAUAUGUCUGAUUUGUCAGAACUCUUCACUUGGACGUGCGAAAGAUGCAACGGUUUGACAAAGGUAUAACAUUUGCUGAAGCAGAUCACCGUUUGAAGCCACAGUAUGUAUAAAGCUAAUAGCUUUAAUUGGGUAUUCUAACGUCUUUAAGGAUGUUGCAGGGUUUUGAGGUAAUAGAGAUAAUAGUUGACGUUGAGCACUGCUUACAGGUCUGCCCUGAUAUCAUAAGCUACAUCUUGUCAUGAUGUUUUUUCAUUUAACAAUUAUUGAUAUCAGUAUAUGUAACUUGUAACAACAGGCAUAUGUUGGGGUGGCUAAGGAUUUAAAUGCUAUCAUCAUUGCAUUUCGGGGAACUCAAGAACACAGGUGUUAUUCUAAUCAUGUAAUCUAAAAGCUACACCUAUGUCUAAAUUUGGUUGAUUUUUGAUCAUCCAAAAACUUGUGCAGCAUACAAAAUUGGGUCUCAGACUUGUUCUGGAAACAGCUCGAUUUGAAUUACCCUGAUAUGCCAGAUGCAAUGGUACACUUAAGCCGCAAGCUUUUUAAUCAUUGAGUUGGUCAUGUAGUACGGUGGAAUUUGUAAUAGUUAUCUACAUUGGCAGGUGCACCAUGGAUUUUAUAGUGCUUAUCACAAUACAACUGUACGGCCUGCGGUUUUGGAUGCAGUAAAACGAGCGAAGAAAUCAUAUGGGGCAAACCUCAACAUCAUGGUGACUGGUCAUUCAAUGGGAGGAGCCAUGGCUUCCUUUUGUGCGCUAGACCUAGUUGUAAACAUCCUUGGAUUGAACUAGUUUUUUUUUCUUUUCUUAUGUUUUGUUCUUUAAAGUUGUUAGUGAUGUCAAUUGGGAUGUAAAUCGCAGGUAAAUGAAGAUGAAGAAAACGUACAGGUUAUGACAUUUGGGCAACCCCGUGUUGGGAAUGCUGCUUUUGCAUCUUAUUACAAUUUGCUUGUGCCUAAUACCUUCAGGAUCAUACAUGACCAUGAUAUAGUUCCUCAUCUGCCUCCUUACUAUCAUCUUUUCCCUCAAAAAACAU